rnacentral:rRNA from 1 species
CUACGGGUGGCUGCAGUGAGGAAUAUUGCACAAUGGGGGGAACCCUGAUGCAGCAACGCCGCGUGGAGGAUGACGCAUUUCGGUGUGUAAACUCCUUUUAUAUGUCAAGAAAAUGACGGUAGCAUAUGAAUAAGCACCGGCUAACUCCGUGCCAGCAGCCGCGGUAAUACGGAGGGUGCAAGCGUUACUCGGAAUCACUGGCGUAAAGGACGCGUAGGCGGGUUGGAAAGUCAGGUGUGAAAUCUUAAAGCUUAACUGUAGAACUGCACUUGAAACUUCUAAUCUAGAGUAUGGGAGGGGGAGAUGGAAUUAGUGGUGUAGGGGUAAAAUCCGUAGAUAUCACUAGGAAUACCUAAAGCGAAGGCGAUCUCCUGGAACAUUACUGACGCUAAGGCGUGAAAGCGUGGGGAGCAAACAGGAUUAGAUACCCCAGUAGUC